AUGCGCCACAUGCACACUUUGAUUCUUGGCGCGCCGCCCACGCCCACCUGACGACUGCCCGCUACGUUCUGUUAUCU
rnacentral:sRNA from 1 species